AUCCAUAAAUAUUGGAAAUAAUAAUCCCUAUUUCACACUAAAAACAUGAAUUUCAGUAAAAUAGUGGAUAUAUUGGAACCUUUUAUUUUUAAUUUUAUAGAUUUGUGAUUUUAUUGGUUCAGGAAACUCCCUUCACUAAUGCAAAUGUGCAACUCCUUGGCAGUUUAUACAUAGCCUUAGAGACCUGAGGUAUUUGAGAGGUUAGGUGACAUCUUCAGGGUCACACAGCUAGAAUGUGACAGAGCUUUUCCUACUCAAAGGCUGACUACUAUGCAAAGAUGCUUCUUGUAACCAUAAAACCUAAAUUUCAUAGAUCUGGAGUUGGAGGCCUUAGAGUUCUCAUGGGCAAUCGACAAGCAUUUAUUGUAAGUCAACUAAGUGUCAGACACUGUGGUAGGUAUUGGGGAUAUACAAAGACAAAAAUGAAACUGCCCUUGCCCUCAAGGAAUUUAUCUAGGGAGGAAGAAGACAAAAUAUAUUUGUGUAUAAGUAUAUACAAAAUACAUAUAAUUAAUUUAGAAAGGAGGGCACUUAGGAGCUUGAGGAAAUCAAAGAAGGCUUCAUGUAAGAGGUGGCAUUGCAGCUGAAUCUAAAAAGGAAACAAUGGAUUUUUAGAGGCAGGAGUAAGAAAGGGGUGCAUUUCAAUGUAUUGAAACAGCCCCCUCUUUAUGACGAAAUUGAGACUCAAGGCCACAUGGUUAAUAGAGCCAGGAUUCUGGUUCCCUACUUGCUCCAUCACUACUGCUAUGUAGAGCUGAGGUUUGAAUUUGGGUUCUGUGAAUUCUAAGAUUAACACUUCCUCCCAGGCCUCCUAAGGCUAAUCUAAUGCAUCCUUCCCUCAUCCCGGUUCAUCAAAGUAAGCCUUAGAAUCCCAUCUCACCUCAUGGCUCUUCCCCAACCGAAGGAAAUGCCCAGGGACUAAUAGGGAGUGGGAUCAGUGGACUGAGCCACAGCCUCUUCUGGUGUGGGAGCUUGCCAAAGGCUUUUUAGAAACUUAACUUUGGGACAUUCUCAGGUCUUAGCUCUUCCACACACUUAUCGUCUCCAAGAAUGACAAACAACACACAGUAGUCUAGGUCAUAGCUCAGGAGGGACCCAAGAGGUCAGCUAGUCCAAAGUCCUCAUUGAGUGGAUGAAACUCAGGCCAAAGUCACCCAGGUAUAGUAAGAUUAUGAGGUAGAAUUCAAACCUGGGUCCUAAUGCCAGAACCUGUGCUGUCCUACUGAAUAAUGAAUAAUGCUCUCCUACUGAAUAAUUCGCCUUAUCUAAUAGGGAUUCAUGUCCCCCCAGUCCAUCUCUUCACUCUACAGAGGCCUGACCUCUCUUGUCCCCUAAGAACUACAAUUGGAGAUGAAAAUUGAGAGAUUGCAGGAGCUCGGCCUCAUGAGGACCACUGUCCUGCCACACGCCUUGGAUAUGAUACAACCCAUCACAGCUGGAUUAAAAAAAUACACAAAAAUAUAUAUAUAUAUAUAAUAUAUAAUAUACAUUACAAAACUGGAUAUGGGGAGAGGGAGGGAAGGGUGUAGGGUGGCCUGAGCAAUUUGUAAUCCAUGAAGGGCCUGGGGGAAGCUCAGGGGGAGGGGCACACCUUGGGAAGGGGUGACAUGGGUGGGAGAGAAGGGGAACAGUACUUCAUAUGAAACUCAUAAAUAAUCAAAGGCUUUUGUUACCUCCUCCAAGCUGGUGUCAGGGAAAAGGCCAGUGGGGAGUGGC